GAGCUGUGACGAAGCAUUUGCGCAAACCCGCGAUGGUUGGGUCCAUCGCAACCGUCUGAUCUCGCCAGACGAAAUUAGCGCAUCCGAGCUC